rnacentral:rRNA from 1 species
GAUGAACGCUGGCGGCGUGCCUAACACAUGCAAGUCGAGCGAACAGACCAGGUGCUUUCUCCUUCGACGUUGUCGGCCGUCGGGUGCUUCCCACGUAGUUAACCUACCUAUACGACUGGGAUACUUUUGCGAAAUCGUAUCUACUACCCGAUAAUAUUUCGACCUGCAUGGUUCGAUCGUUAAAUAUGGCUUUUCUAUCACUAAUAGAUUACCCUGCGCCGUAUUAGUUAGUUGGGAAGGUAACUGCUUACCAACGCAACGAUACGUAGCCGACCUAAGAGGGUGAACGGACACACUGGAACUGAGACACAGUCCAGACUCCGAGGGGAAGAAGCAGUAGAGAAUCUUACGCAAUGGACGAAAGCCUGACGGAGCAAAGCCGCGUGAGUGAUGAAGGUCUUCGGAUCGUAAAACGAUGUUAUUAGGGAAGAACAAACGUGUAAGUAACUGUGAACGUAUUGACGGUACCGAGCCAGAAAGCCACGGCUAACUACGUG